GAAGUAAGUCUCACUAAAUUCAAUGCUAGGAUUGCAGCGGGGAAAUAUUCGCCUGGAUCCAGUAAACUCUUCCCCACGAGCAAAAAUCACCUUGAAUUCACCCGAAUAUUUCUGCAUAGAGGUUCCAUAUGCAAAAAGGUGAUUUAAUAAAGGGAGGGGGGAGAGUCCACAAUUCUGAUUUACUCGGAAGCAAGUCUCACGAAGUCCAACGUUUAGGAUUGCAGCCGUGGAAACAAUCGCCACGAUCAAAAGGUCGCUGAAUUCAUCCGAAGCUGGGAGGCUGGCAACUGGCUUUGCAGGAAACAAUAACUUAGCUGUGAUCCUUAAAUUUAACUCGGGGUCAUCCGUCGCGUGCAGAAGGGCGGAAGAGCGAACCAGGCGCUGUCGGCAGAAAUGUGCGCGGCUGAGAAGCGAAGCAAAAGACGGGACUUUGUGAAAGGCGGGCGACAGGUCUGAAGCGGGGAGAAAACCAGAGGCGCAGAGCAGAUGGGAAGGCAAGGCUGGAAAACCCGGAUUCAGCGCAUCGCCCGAAGACGGUGCCAAGCGGAGUCACCGGGACUCCUCGGCUGAAACAGGCGGGACGGCGGGUCUUUUUUUGCGCGGGGGGUAGGGGGGUCUGCCAAGUCCGUCCAAGCAGAUCGACGCGAGAGGGUCCUUGGUGCUCUCCCAGCUUGCCGGUUUCCUUGCAGGCGUUUCGUUUCCCCAAACUGGGCAACAUCAUCAGUGCUAGCGGCGUCGCCUAGUUUGGGUAAGGAAACGCCCGCAGGAAAACCGGCAAGUUCAGAGAGCACCAAGGACCCGCAAGUUUCAACCCCGAGCUACAAAAUAUUCUCCUUUAUUGAGAUCGGCGAGCGCUCGGGACAAGCGCUGGGAUUGGAAAGCGGCUUGGCUGGACCAGACGUUGGGCGGAAAAGCAGAAGAACUGGAGCCGUCUGCGAAGGACCUUGGCAGUUGCGGAUGAAUGGUCGCUGCCCUGUAUCAGAGGCUUUGCCUGUCCAAAGAGCAUCAUCACCUGGUUUUUCUGCUGCCAAUUUAGGAAGCUCCAUAGUAAUGUUGGAAGGUAAAAGCUUUUAUGAGACCUCUGUUAGCCAGUCCACACAUCAACCGCAACCGUCCCUGACCCACAGGUGAAUUCAAAGAAACACUGAAACUUUUCUGCCCAAUUUCUGACAAUUGACAUAAGGAAAUAAACAGAUAUCAGCAACACAAAAAAGUCAAAUACUUUCUACCUUGACUUCAAGCAGGUGUGCUCAUUUACUUGGCUGUGAAACAGGCCAGAAUUGUCUUCUAACAACGAUGGUUUUAUUUUAUUUGUUUUGUUGUAUUUAGGUGAUAGACCCGCAUAAAGCUAAUAACAUUGUGCUGUUGUAAUUUCAACAGGGAAAAAGGGGCAGGGAGCCAUGGUUUUUCUAUAUUCCAUGUUGUAGAAUGAUAUGGCUGAUUAAAAACAAAAUUAUGUCCUCAGCCUUCCAAAGCCCCAAACCAUCAACGAUCAAGCUGUGGAAUUCUAAUAUGCAGAAAGAGCAAAUUAAAUCAUUUUAAAAAUGUCUUGGAUUUAUUAGGACUACAGGUGGUGCAAAGGUUAAAGUGCUGUAUUGUAGGCAAACUCUGUCCACAGUCUGGAGUUCGAACUGUUGCGGCAUAAGGUUGCCUCGGCCUUCCAUCCUUCCGAGAUUGGUAAAAGGAGGUUGUUGGGGGCAAUAUGCAAGUAAUGCUUUGACACUGUAAACCAUCCAGAGAAUGCUGGGAAGCACUGUGGGGCAGUAUCAGUGGUGGGAUUCAGCUGGUUCAGGCUGGUUCGGGUGAACUAGUAGUUAAAUUGCUGUCUGUGGCCCUCCCCCUCCCUGCCCCGCCCCUUCCAGGAGUCCCCACACACCUCAAUUUGGCUCCCAGGUAAGUGCAAGGAGGCCUACUAGGGUCAAAACGGGGCGUGGGGGGGACACGUCCCCCCGCGGCCCGUUUUUGCUCCCAGGGGGGUGCAGGAAGCCGAGUGCUGCCUGUCACACCCCCUGGCCACGCCCACCAUGGUCACGCCCACCCAGCCGGUCAUUAGGGCAGAGAACCGGUUGUUAAAUUAUUUGAAUCCCACCACUGGACAGUAUAUAUACCUAAAUGUUACUGCUCUUUCUCUCUGGAUUUGCAUGAUAUACCAAACAUAUAAGAGGCUAAAAUGUGAUUGGCUAGUUUAUAAUGGAUGUGUAAAUAUUGUCCAUCUAGAUGUUUAAUCUCAGUCAAAUUUAAGACUGGCCUGGGGUUUUCCUGAAUUGUCUUAUGAUUGACCCACCAUUUAGGCAAGUCUUGUACUCCUUGUUAAGGCACUCAUUGAGUUUUAUAACUUUAAUAAAAUAAAUAAAUUGAAUUCCUUGUCUAAUGUAUUGGUUUUGAUUGGUCUUCCUCAUGUCUUCAGUGGCUAGCCAAUUUCAGAAAAGCUAAAAAGACUCAAAAGGUCCAUGGAAAUCACUGGAAAAAUCCCAGAGGUUAUGAACUGAACUGGAAAACAU